AUUUAAAUAGUUUAAAAAAAAUAUUGAUUUGUGGUGUCAAAGAUGUGAAAUUUUUCUUUAAAUU
rnacentral:tRNA from 1 species